rnacentral:rRNA from 1 species
GGUGAACGCUGGCGGCGUGCUUAACACAUGCAAGUCGAACGGAAAGGCUCCUGCUUGCAGGGGUACUCGAGUGGCGAACGGGUGAGUAACACGUGGGUGAUCUGCCCUGCACUUCGGGAUAAGCCUGGGAAACUGGGUCUAAUACCGGAUAGGACGAUGGUUUGGAUGCCAUUGUGGAAAGUUUUUUCGGUGUGGGAUGAGCUCGCGGCCUAUCAGCUUGUUGGUGGGGUAAUGGCCUACCAAGGCGUCGACGGGUAGCCGGCCUGAGAGGGUGUACGGCCACAUUGGGACUGAGAUACGGCCCAGACUCCUACGGGAGGCAGCAGUGGGGAAUAUUGCACAAUGGGCGCAAGCCUGAUGCAGCGACGCCGCGUGGGGGAUGACGGCCUUCGGGUUGUAAACUCCUUUCGCUAGGGACGAAGCGCAAGUGACGGUACCUGGAGAAGAAGCACCGGCUAACUACGUG